GAUGAACGCUGGCGGCGUGCCUAAUACAUGCAAGUCGAGCGAACAGAUAAGGAGCUUGCUCCUUUGACGUUAGCGGCGGACGGGUGAGUAACACGUGGGUAACCUACCUAUAAGACUGGAAUAACUCCGGGAAACCGGGGCUAAUGCAGGAUAACAUGUUGAACCGCAUGGUUCUACAGUGAAAGGCGGCUUUGCUGUCACUUAUAGAUGGACCCGCGCCGUAUUAGCUAGUUGGUGAGGUAACGGCUCACCAAGGCAACGAUACGUAGCCGACCUGAGAGGGUGAUCGGCCACACUGGAACUGAGACACGGUCCAGACCCCUACGGGAGGCAGCAGUAGGGAAUCUUCCGCAAUGGGCGAAAGCCUGACGGAGCAACGCCGCGUGAGUGAUGAAGGUCUUCGGAUCGUAAAACUCUGUUAUUAGGGAAGAACAAAUGCGUAAGUAACUGUGCGCGUCUUGACGGUACCUAAUCAGAAAGCCACGGCUAACUACGUG
rnacentral:rRNA from 1 species